UUGAACACAGCAGGCUGUUUCAUCUCUGGGCUGCUACGGUGAUUGCAGAAGAUCUCUCAGAAGAGGUGAUUUGAACAUAGACAUCACAAACAUGAAGAAGUGAGAACCAUGAAGGGUACACUGUGCCAAGCUGACAACACUGUUUAUGAGGCUAAGAGACUCAAUAUCUCUCUCACUCGAACCCAUCAGCUCCACAGCAAAGUUCCUGGUAUCUCUUUUGGGAAAUAUCCUGCCAUUGGGAAAGAAAGGAGAACAGGAAUUGAUGAAGAAAAGGGAGAAAAGGGGACAAAAAGAAGACAAAAGAAGAAUAGAAGCAGAAGAGUACGGUUGCUCUGCAGGACUUUCUGUCUCUUUCAGGACCGACUCUGGGCCGAUGAAGAAAUUAAAGCUCAGAGAGGUAUGACUUUGACCCAAGGUGACAUGGCCAGAGUGCAAUGCAACCAGG
rnacentral:lncRNA from 10 species